AGUGAACGCUGGCGGUAGGCCUAACACAUGCAAGUCGAACGGCAGCACAGUAAGAGCUUGCUCUUACGGGUGGCGAGUGGCGGACGGGUGAGGAAUACAUCGGAAUCUACUUUUUCGUGGGGGAUAACGUAGGGAAACUUACGCUAAUACCGCAUACGACCUACGGUUGAAAGCAGGGGAUCUUCGGACCUUGCGCGAUUGAAUGAGCCGAUGUCGGAUUAGCUAGUUGGCGGGGUAAAGGCCCACCAAGGCGACGAUCCGUAGCUGGUCUGAGAGGAUGGUCGGCCACACUGGAACUGAGACACGGUCCAGACUACUACGGGAGGCAACAGUGGGGAAUAUUGGACAAUGGGCGCAAGCCUGAUCCAGCCAUACCGCGUGGGUGAAGAAGGCCUUCGGGUUGUAAAGCCCUUUUGUUGGGAAAGAAAAGCAGCAGGUUAAUACCCCGCUGUUCUGACGGUACCCAAAGAAUAAGCACCGGCUAACUUCGUG
rnacentral:rRNA from 1 species